UAUAGCGGCCACGUCACCAUU
rnacentral:siRNA from 1 species